AAAGCGUGCGCAGGCGGUUAUAUAAGACAGAUGUGAAAUCCCCGGGCUCAACCUGGGAACUGCAUUUGUGACUGUAUAGCUAGAGUACGGUAGAGGGGGAUGGAAUUCCGCGUGUAGCAGUGAAAUGCGUAGAUAUGCGGAGGAACACCGAUGGCGAAGGCAAUCCCCUGGACCUGUACUGACGCUCAUGCACGAAAGCGUGGGGAGCAAACAGGAUUAGAUACCCUUGU
rnacentral:rRNA from 1 species